GCCGCCGCCACCCCCUCCCGCCCUGUUCUCUCUUUGGUCGGGCCGGGCCCGGCCGGUUCCACGAGCGCCCGGCAGAGACUGAGGGAGAGAGAGAGAAAGAGGAGGGGAGGAGGAGGAGGAUUCAGGGAAUAGGAGCUGGGGAGCCCUUCUGCGCCACAGAAAAUUUCCAAAGACUUGGUGAAGAUAGGAAAACUAUCAGAAAGGCAGUGGCACCAUUAUCCUUUAUAGAUGACCUGCCAAAUUUCCAAAGGCCUGUAAAGGAAUGAGGUUGAACUUAAAAGAAAUUUGACUGCACAAAAUUUUAACACAAGGUAGUCACUUUUUUU
rnacentral:lncRNA from 1 species